UAGCUCAUUUGAGAUCUUACACCCUGUGUAUGACUUCACAGGCGGACAAGACCCUAGUGUUGGACGGCCUGAUAUCUGCAUAUCUGGAUUAUAUAAUUGAAAUGUUUUAUCCUGAAAUCCAGUGAAGAAAUUAAAGGUGUGUUAGCAGAGUAAAACCAAGGAAAACAGCAGUACCAAAAAACUGGAACAUGCGAUCAUCCUCAAUAGCACACUCGCUCCAAUGUUUGCCUCUCACACCACUGCCAAAACAGGGAUCUGGUCCGGAUAGGCACAGAAUGAGACUAUCAUAAGUCAUUGUGACGAGGAGGAGGUCAUGGCCAGGCUGUGAGGGUGCACGGCCAGCACUGAGUCACCUAAUCAGCAGGAGAGGGAGAUAAAGGGGAGCUGGAAACGCCAGAAAGAGAGAGAGAGACAAACGGAAUGUUUGUGU